UGCAGAAAGAUUUUAUAGAAAGAGGUCCUGUGCUACUGAAAGGAGGGAAAGAUAUUGUCCCCAAUGUGAUUAAGGCUGUGGAAGUUGCCAGGGAGCGUGGAAUUCUUAUAGUUUGGGUUGUACGCGAACAUGAUCCCUUAGGAAGAGAUGUUGAACUCUUUCGUCGUCAUCUAUAUGGUCCAGGGAAAGUUGGUCCAACCUCUAAAGGAAGUGAAGGCGCAGAAUUAGUUGAUGGGUUGGUAAUUAGAGAAGGGGAUUAUAAACUGGUGAAAACCAGGUUUAGUGCAUUCUUUUCUACACACCUUCAUUCAGUCCUUCAAGGAGCUGGAAUUAAUAGUUUGGUGGUCACGGGUGAGUAGGUGUUUUAAUGUUGUAUACGAGUUUGCAGUUUUAUAUUCAUGUGUAGACUUAAUAUAGCUUUAUUUGUAGGUGUUCAAACUCCAAACUGUAUCAGGCAAACUGUCUUUGAUGCUGUAGCAUUGGACUACAAACCUGUAACUGUUAUUGUUGACGCCACAGCGGCAGCGACACCUGACAUUCAUCUUGCCAAUGUGUUUGACAUGAAAAAUGUUGGAGUUGAAACCCCAACAUUACAAGAGUGGAGCGAAUCCAAAGCUUGAUCUGUAUCAACCGUCCCUGUGGUGUUCAAUUCCAAGACUCAAAAAGUGUUGAUGCCUUUUGUCAAGUUAAGCUGUAAAGUGAACUGAAACUACUUAUAUUGCAGUACUUGAUU